CUUCCUUCCUUCCUUCCUCCAUCCCUGCUUCCUUCCUUCCUUCCUCUCUCUCUCUCUUCCUUUUUGAGACAGAGUCUCACUCUGUCACCCAGGCUUAGAGUGCAGUGGCAUGAUCAUAGUUCACUGCAGCCUUGAACUCCUGGGCCCCAGGGAUCCUCCUGGCCCAGCCUCCUGAGUAACUGGAAUUAUAGGCAUGCCACAGUGCCCAGGUAAUUAAAAAAAAAAAAAUCUGUGUGUAGAAACAGGGUCUCACUAUCUCAGUGUGGGCUGCUGAUUUCUUUCUUCUUUUUUAUUUUUUUGAGAGCGGGUCUCCCUCUGUUAUCCAGGCUAGAAUGCAGUGGCAUGAUUACAGCUCACAUCAGUCUCAAACUCCUAGACUUAAGUGAACCUCCCACCUCAGCCUCCAGAGUAGCUAGCACACACCACCAUGCCUGACUAAUUUUUAAAUGGUUUCUUGGUUGGGCGUGGUGGCUCACACCUGUAAUCCUAACAUUUUGGGAGGCUGAGGCAGGCAGAUUGCUUGAGCUCAGGAGUCCGAGACCAACUGGGCAACAUAGUGAAACCACAUGUCUACAAAAAUACAAAAAUUAGCUGGGUGUGGUGACGUAUACCUGUAGUCCCAGCUACUUGAGAGGCUGAGGUGGGAGGAUUGCCUAAGCCUGGGAGGCAGAGGUUGCAGUGAGCCAAGAUGGCACCACUGCACUCCAGCCUGGGUGACAGAGUGAGACUCUUUAGAAGGAAAACAAAACAAAACAAAAAAACCAAUACGUGGUUUCUUGAUUGAUUUGUGUUCAUAUUAUCUGACAAUGCUUUUGGAAGGGAAACUACCUGAGUGCGAAGACCCUGUAUGUCCCAUCCCCACGAAAUUCACUACUCCUAGCAGAGUGGCUGUCACGUAGUAGGUGCUCAAUAAACAUUUACUGAAUGAUUGUAAGAAUGGCUCCCUAUUGCGGGGUUGGGGCUCUGAGACUGGGGAGCCAGGAUGACUAGGCCCCAGCCAAGAGGCCUCUGAGCUCGGGGUCUCAGUUUUCUCAGUUGUGUCCCUAGCAGAGAGGAAGGUGUGCCUUCCCCAGGAAUGUGAGGGCAGGUCCAAGGGGAGGACAGGGGUCACCUAAGGUGGCCCCAGACUGGGUGUGGAGGUGCCUCUUUUCCCUCCUCGCCCACUACAGCACAGGGCAUUGAGGUGACAGGCAAUUGGGUCGGUUCAACAAAGGUUCCCACUCUGUGCCUGGCAUUGUGUUGAGCACUGGAGGCUGUGGGGAGGGGGUGCCGAGCACUGGG
rnacentral:lncRNA from 1 species